UACGUAGGAGGCGAGCGUUGUCCGGAGUUACUGGGCGUAAAGGGUGCGCAGGCGGCCCGACAGGUGUGUGGUGAAAUCUCCCGGCUUACCUGGGAGGGGGCCACGCAAACCGUUGGGCUUGAGGCUCGGGGAGGGGCGUGGAAUUCCGGGUGGAGCGGUGAAAUGCGUAGAUAUCGGGAGGAACACCGGUGGCGAAGGCGGUUCUCUGGGCCUGUGCUGACGCUGAGGAGCGAAAGCGUGGGGAGCGAACAGG
rnacentral:rRNA from 1 species